UCUUAUGAUCUCUUGUUGCAACAACUUGUUCUAAUUUCAGCUGUAUGAGCUUUUUCAUGCAGUUUGACUGCUCAAAGGGUGUCGCCCUCAUGGAGGAGCAAUUCUUCAUUAUGAAGCCCGACAUUUCAUCUCGAUCUUUAAACUCUAUCCAACAACUGAUCAAGCAGCAAAAUACUUUUGUUCUUGUAAAAGAUUAACAGGAGGCUAUUAGCAUCUUACAUGAUGUGCCACAUGGGGUUCAUCAUUACCUCCUUUUAUAUUUCCAACAAUUCUAAGAUCAGUGAGAUUGAUUUAUUUCACUCAAAAUGCUUUUGCUUGAUAUAUUGAAUGCACAGCUGUUCUGAAGGACUCUGAAUUUAACAAA